rnacentral:rRNA from 1 species
GAUGCAACAUCGACUAUGUCGAAUAAAAUUCUAGGUAGAAUUAUGAUAAUGACAUUGUCUGCCUAUGUGUCUUGACCAAAUUACGUGCCAGCAGUCGCGGUAAUACGUAGAAGACUAGUGUUAUUCAUGUUUAAUCGGUUUAAAGGGUACCUAGACGGUAAAUCAAGCUUUAUAAGAAAUAUAGUUAAAGGACUAAUUUACUAGAGUUACUUACGAGGGGGCAUUAAAGUACUACUGGUGUAGAGAUGAAAUUCUGUCAUACCUCUUUUCAAAAGAAAAAAUGAAGGCACAGGUAUAGGCGAAGGCAUCUCCUUAUGUGAUAACUGACGUUGAGGGACGAAGGCUUUGUAUAGCGAACAGGAUUAGUUACCCCAGUAGUCGAAGCAGAAAAUGAUGAAUGUCAUAGAUUAGAGGUAAGUUUAUUCUAUAAAUGAAAGUGUAAGCAUUCCACCUCAUGAGUAAUUUGGCAACAUUGGAACUGAAAUCAUUAGACCGUUUCUGAAACCAGUAGUGAAGUAUGUUGUUUAAUUUGAUGAUCCGCAAAAAACCUUACCACAAUUUGAAUAUUUAUAUUUUUUUUUAUUGUUUUCUUAUUAAUUUUCUUCUAAGAAGAAAGUUAAUAUAGAGGCAAUAAGAUAUAUUUACAAGCGUUGCACGGCUGUCUUCAGUUAAUGUCGCGAGACUUUGGUUAGUUCCAUUAAAUUAACGUAAACCCUUACUUUAUUUUUAUAUAGAGUAGUUCCCCGCUAUAUUGGAUAUGAU